CCUACGGGGGGCAGCAGUGGGGAAUAUUGGACAAUGGGGGGAACCCUGAUCCAGCCAUGCCGCGUGUGUGAAGAAGGCCCUCGGGUUGUAAAGCACUUUCAGUGAGGAAGAACGCCUGGUGGUUAAUACCCAUCAGGAAAGACAUCACUCACAGAAGAAGCACCGGCUAACUCCGUGCCAGCAGCCGCGGUAAUACGGAGGGUGCGAGCGUUAAUCGGAAUUACUGGGCGUAAAGCGCGCGUAGGUGGCUUGAUAAGCCGGUUGUGAAAGCCCCGGGCUCAACCUGGGAACGGCAUCCGGAACUGUCAAGCUAGAGUGCAGGAGAGGAAGGAAGAAUUCCCGGUGUAGCGGUGAAAUGCGUAGAGAUCGGGAGGAAUACCAGUGGCGAAGGCGGCCUUCUGGACUGACACUGACACUGAGGUGCGAAAGCGUGGGUAGCAAACAGGAUUAGAUACCCUAGUAGUC
rnacentral:rRNA from 1 species